UACCGUGAAACUGCGAAUGGCUCAUUAAAUCAGUUAUUGUUUAUUUGAUAGUACCUUACUACUUGGAUAACCGUGGUAAUUCUAGAGCUAAUACAUGCUAAAAACCCCGACUUCGGAAGGGGUGUAUUUAUUAUAUAAAAAACCAAUGCCCUUCGGGGCUCUUUGGUGAUUCAUAAUAACUUAACGGAUCGCAUGGCCUUGCGCCGGCGACGGUUCAUUCAAAUUUCUGCCCUAUCAACUUUCGAUGGUAAGGUAUUGGCUUACCAUGGUUUCAACGGGUGACGGGGAAUUAGGGUUCGACUCCGGAGAGGGAGCCUGAGAAACGGCUACCACAUCCAAGGAAGGCAGCAGGCGCGCAAAUUACCCAAUCCCGACACGGGGAGGUAGUGACAAUAAAUACUGAUACAGGGCUCUUUCGGGUCUUGUAAUUGGAAUGAGUACAAUUUAAAUCCCUUAACGAGGAACAAUUGGAGGGCAAGUCUGGUGCCAGCAGCCGCGGUAAUUCCAGCUCCAAUAGCGUAUGUUAAAGUUGUUGCAGUUAAAAAGCUCGUAGUUGAACCUUGGGCCUGGCUGGCCGGUCCGCCUCACCGCGUGUACUGGUCCGGCCGGGCCUUUCUUUCUGGAGAUCCCUAUGCCCUUCACUGGGUGUAGUGGGGAACCAGGACUUUUACUGUGAAAAAAUUAGAGUGUUCAAAGCAGGCCUUUGCUCGAAUACAUUAGCAUGGAAUAAUAGAAUAGGACGGUGCGGUUCUAUUUUGUUGGUUUCUAGGACCGCCGUAAUGAUUAAUAGGGAU
rnacentral:rRNA from 1 species